ACUAUGUUUCCCUGGCCGCAUAACUCAUUUGUACAAAUUAACCGCAUAAAUAAAUGUAACUUCCACAACUUUCUUAAAACUAAUAUGUUAUUAAAAAAACACCCGGUACAUGUUUAGUGUUUUUCUGAGCGCGACCCAACAAAAUUAAAACAUAAUAUAUUCUUCUCUUACAUUUUGACGCUGUGCGCCUUUGGUUCCAGGAUUCUCAGCAAUCAUCAUAACAGGAGCUAAAGUGGCGACGACAUGCAGCCCGAGGAAGCGUUGCGACAGGCCGGCGACUUCGGCCUGUUCCAGUACCUGCUCAUCACCUACCUCUGCGUUCUCGUUGCCCCCGUGCGCGUGAUGCCCCUCUUCGCGCACAUCUUCAGUUUCCUGGUGCCCCCUCACCGCUGCAAGGUUCCCCUGCACCUGUACGAGGGCCUCAACGUCUCUGGGGAGGCCAUCCUUGGCGUGGCCCUUCCCCGAGAAUCGGACGGAAGCUUGAGCCAGUGCAGGAUGUACGACGUGAACGCCACGCUGCUCCGCCAUGGCUUCAGGCUGGCACUGGUGCAUCAGUGAACUUUUCGACGACUGCGCCGUCCGUUGACCUCGAAACCACGUCGUGUCAGUUCGGCUGGGAGUACGACUUCUCGCUCAUCUAUCCAAGCGUCGUCUCUGAGAUGGACUGGGUCUGCGAGAACAGUUGGAAAACUACGUGGCCAACACCGUUUUCUGGGUGUCCACGGCAGUAGGAGUGCUCAUCUGUGGGAAUCUAAGCGACAGGUACGGCCGGGUCUUGGUGAUCGUCGGCGUGAACCUCCUGUGCGGUGGCGCUGGACUGUACACCUUCUUCACUGAGGGCUUCCUCCAUUUCGUCCUAAGCCGAGUGUUCUUGGGUCUCGUGAUGCUCGCUCUCAGCAUCACGCCCUUCGUGUUGGUGGUGGAGUAUGUGGCUCCGGAGCGGCGAAUGAUGGUGCUGAGCGGUUUCCAGUUCUCGUACCCCCUCGUUGGAGCUGCGUUCCCCUGGCUGGCCUACUACAUCGGCGACUGGAGGACGCUCGUCUCAGCGCUUCCCCCGCUGGCAGCACCCUUUUUCUGCCUAUUUGUGCCUGAGUCCCUCCGGUGGCUGGUAUCUCGUGGCAAGGAAGCGCGAGCCAAGAAAAUCCUCCGUUUCAUCGCCAAGGUGAACGGGAAGGUGCUCUCGGACGAGUUCAUGGGAAAAUGUCGAUUCCCUGCUCCAAAUGAAUCUCAGAAACCCAAAGAUUCUCCAACGGACAUGCUGAAGACACCCAACCUCCGAAAAAAUUUCAUUCUGACUCUUGCUGCUUGGAUGCUGGCGUGCCUAGUGUACAUGGCGGGACAACUGUAUGCUGCCAAUGCCAGUCACAACCCGUUCCUGAUGACAACUGCCGUCAACGCGGUGGACAUUGUGGCUACAGCCACCGCACUGCCGCUUGCCGACCGCUGGGGAAGGAGGCCCACUAUGAUGACCACUUACUCGCUUGCGGCGUUUGCGUACCUCUUCGCUGUCUCGGUGCCUGCAGGUGCAACCACUGUCGAGACCCUGGUAUUUAUGCUUGCCCGAAUGGCCCUGACAAUGGCUUACAAUGUGGGCUACCUGCACGCUGCCGAGGUUUACCCGACGGCUGUACGGUCUCAAGCUUUAUCCGUGCGACAGGCCUUCGGGUCUGUCGGAAAAUUCCUCAGCUCACAGGUGACACAGCUGGCAAUCUACGGCAGACCAAUCCCUCUGGUCCUGAUGGGAGCAAUGUCCUUUCUGCUGGCCCUGCUCACGUUCCCGCUGCCAGAGACGCUGCACCACGAACUGCCCGAGACACUGAAGGAGGGCGAGGAAUACAACCAUGCACAGAACACGUGCUGCCUUUCACAUGCACCACAGCUACCGCCGCCCGGUCACGGAAGAACUCGCACUUUAUCUGUCAUAUAGAAAGGAUCGCAGAGAAGUGCGUAGAAGCCCACUAUCCAGACACUGUUCAUCUUGCGGAGGAAGCUACCGAUGCCCCGAGAGGGAUUAACCACACAGGUGCUUGUACACCAGUGGUGA